rnacentral:rRNA from 1 species
CACGUAGUUAGCCGUGGCUUUCUGGUUAGGUACCGUCAAGAUGUGCACAGUUACUUACACAUUUGUUCUUCCCUAACAACAGAGCUUUACGAUCCGAAGACCUUCAUCACUCACGCGGCGUUGCUCCGUCAGGCUUUCGCCCAUUGCGGAAGAUUCCCUACUGCUGCCUCCCGUAGGAGUCUGGACCGUGUCUCAGUUCCAGUGUGGCCGAUCACCCUCUCAGGUCGGCUACGUAUCGUCGCCUUGGUAGGCCGUUACCCCACCAACUAGCUAAUACGGCGCGGGUCCAUCUAUAAGUGACAGCAAGACCGUCUUUCACUGUAGAACCAUGCGGUUCAACAUGUUAUCCGGCAUUAGCCCCGGUUUCCCGGAGUUAUUCCAGUCUUAUAGGUAGGUUACCCACGUGUUACUCACCCGUCCGCCGCUAACGUCAAAGGAGCAAGCUCCUUAUCUGUUCGCUCGACUUGCAUGUAUUAGGCACGCCGCCAGCGUUCAUCCUGAGCCAGGAUCAAA